rnacentral:rRNA from 1 species
GAUGAACGCUGGCGGCGUGCCUAACACAUGCAGGUCGAGCGAUUUACUUCGGUAAAGAGCGGCGGACGGGUGAGUAACGCGUGGGUAACCUGCCCUGUACACACGGAUAACAUACUGAAAGGUAUGCUAAUACGGGAUAACAUAAGAGAGUCGCAUGGCUUUCUUAUCAAAGCUUUUGCGGUACAGGAUGGACCCGCGUCUGAUUGGCUAGUUGGUAAGGUAACGGCUUACCAAGGCGACGAUCAGUAGCCGACCUGAAAGGGUGAUCGGCCACAUUGGAACUGAGACACGGUCCAAACUCCUACGGGAGGCAGAAGUGGGGAAUAUUGCACGAUGGGCGAAAGCCUGAUGCAGCAACGCCGCGUGAGCGAUGAAGGCCUUCGGGUCGUAAAGCUCUGUCCUCAAGGAAGAUAAUGACGGUACUUGAGGAGGAAGCCCCGGCUAACUACGUGCCAGCCGCCGCGGUAA